rnacentral:lncRNA from 1 species
AACGUUUUAGCUUUGGGCAGUUCAGUAGACGCACAAGAAACAGAACAGGCAAUUCAGGAGAAUGGGUCUGAGACUGAGAAAAUCAAUAAUUGUGAUGUAGAGACAAAGGUGGACCAAACUCAACAGGCAAUUCAGAAGAAUGAGUCUGACACUCAGAAAAUCAACCAUUUCGAUGUAGAGAUAAAGGUGGACAAAACAGAAGAGGCAAUUCAGGAGAAUGAGUCUGAGCGUGAGAAGAUCAACCAUUUCGAUGUAGAGACAAAGGUGGACCAAACCUAUAGUGACACUAGUGAUUCAGAAACCGAACAGGCAAUUCAGAAGAAUGGCGCUGAACCUGAGAAAAUCAACAAGUUCGAUGAAGAAGACACAAUGGUGAAUGCUGGUGAUUCAGAAACUGAGGCGGAAGAUAAUUGUGGUGUUGACUCAGACGGC